rnacentral:lncRNA from 10 species
AUCAAAUGGAAAUGGUUAAUAUAAGAUCCAGCCUGCACAGGUCAUGAAGGCACAGGUGUGGCCUCUUUGAGAGUUCCCUUUGAUCAUCGUUGAACAAGAAAAUAUUUGGGUCUGGUUUACCAAAGGACCUACAAGAUUUUCUGGCACCACCAUUCCCUGGAGGGGUCAGCCAGCUACAUGUUGGCAGGAUGAUGGCACUGGACUAUUUCCAUCGUGGAAGGGGCAGCAUUUUGUCCUCACUGGAACAGACACUUGGUUAGAAUAUGAAUAUGCUUUCACUGUACAUAUUUGUUCUGCUAAAACCACCAACUGUAUAUGCCUUAUUCACUGUUAUGAUAUUCCACGUAGCAUUACUUCUGACCAAGGAACUCAUCUCACAGCUAAUGAAGUGUGGAUAAGGAAGGGACUUUUGAAGAUUUUGUUAUGUUCCCAAGUGGGGGACAUCAUCUUAUAGGGCUGGUGUAGUGUCCUAUGGAUGUAGUACAUAUCCCAAAUCAGCAACCAAAGUAUAGUGCUGUUUCUCCCAUAACAUGAUCAAGGAAUGGGAAUGAGAUCAGCUGCUCUUAGUUUACCCUUUGUGAUCCACUAACAGUAUUUUUGCUUCUAGUCCUGGUGACUUUGGGCUCUGCUGCUUUAGGGCAUUUUACUUUUCCAGAAGAAUAAUGCUUCUGCCAGGAAACACAGUAACACUCCUGUUAAAUUGGAAGUCGAGACUGCUCCCUGAGAACUGUGAUGCCAGUAAAUCAGCAUGCAAAUAAGUGGCUACUGGAUUGGCUGAAGUGUUUGAUGCUGACUAUCAAGGGGGGAAACUGGGUUUCCAGCAUAGAGUGGGCACGGGAGUAGGUGCUUUCUGGAAUACCCUGGUCACCUUGGGUACUGCUUUUUAUUCCCUUAUCCUGUGGCAA